rnacentral:rRNA from 1 species
GACGAACCGAGCGAACGUUAUUCGGAAUCAUUGGGCGUAAAGCGCGUGUAGGCGGCCCGAUAAGUCCGCUGUGAAAGUCCAGGGCUCAACCCUGGGAUGCCGGUGGAUACUGUCGGGCUCGAGUCCGGAAGAGGAGUGUGGAAUUCCUGGUGUAGCGGUGAAAUGCGCAGAUAUCAGGAGGAACACCAAUGGCGAAGGCAGCACUCUGGGACGUGACUGACGCUGAGACGCGAAAGCGUGGGGAGCAAACAGG